rnacentral:rRNA from 1 species
GAGAACCUGCCCAUAAGAGGGGGAUAACAUCCGGAAACGGGUGCUAAUACCGCAUAGGUAUCCGACACGCAUGUGUCGGCUAUGAAAGACGGCUUCGGCUGUCGCUUAUGGAUGGCUCCGCGGCGUAUUAGCUAGUUGGUGAGGUAAUGGCUCACCAAGGCAGUGAUACGUAGCCGACCUGAGAGGGUGAUCGGCCACACUGGGACUGAGACACGGCCCAGACUCCUACGGGAGGCAGCAGUAGGGAAUCUUCCACAAUGGGCGCAAGCCUGAUGGAGCAAUGCCGCGUGAAUGAAGAAGGUCUUCGGAUCGUAAAGUUCUGUUAUCGGAGAAGAACACGUCGAGUAGUAACUGGCUCGACCUUGACGGUAUCCGACCAGAAAGUCACGGCUAACUACGUGCCAGCAGCCGCGGUAAUACGUAGGUGACAAGCGUUGUCCGGAUUUAUUGGGCGUAAAGCGAGCGCAGGCGGUCUUUUAAGUCUGAUGUGAAAGCCCACGGCUCAACCGUGGAUGGUCAUUGGAAACUGGAGGACUUGAAUGCAGAAGAGGUAAGUGGAAUUCCAUGUGUAGCGGUGAAAUGCGUAGAUAUAUGGAGGAA